rnacentral:rRNA from 1 species
GUAGUCAUAUGCUUGUCUCAAAGAUUAAGCCAUGCAUGUCUAAGUAUAAGCAAUUUAUACAGUGAAACUGCGAAUGGCUCAUUAAAUCAGUUAUCGUUUAUUUGAUAGUUCCUUUACUACAUGGUAUAACUGUGGUAAUUCUAGAGCUAAUACAUGCUUAAAAUCUCGACCCUUUGGAAGAGAUGUAUUUAUUAGAUAAAAAAUCAAUGUCUUCGGACUCUUUGAUGAUUCAUAAUAACUUUUCGAAUCGCAUGGCCUUGUGCUGGCGAUGGUUCAUUCAAAUUUCUGCCCUAUCAACUUUCGAUGGUAGGAUAGUGGCCUACCAUGGUUUCAACGGGUAACGGGGAAUAAGGGUUCGAUUCCGGAGAGGGAGCCUGAGAAACGGCUACCACAUCCAAGGAAGGCAGCAGGCGCGCAAAUUACCCAAUCCUAAUUCAGGGAGGUAGUGACAAUAAAUAACGAUACAGGGCCCAUUCGGGUCUUGUAAUUGGAAUGAGUACAAUGUAAAUACCUUAACGAGGAACAAUUGGAGGGCAAGUCUGGUGCCAGCAGCCGC